rnacentral:rRNA from 1 species
UACAUAGGGUGCGAGCGUUAAUCGGAAUUACUGGGCGUAAAGCGUGCGCAGGCGGUCUGUUAAGACAGAUGUGAAAUCCCCGGGCUCAACCUGGGAACUGCAUCUGUGACUGCAUCGCUGGAGUGCGGCAGAGGGGGAUGGAAUUCCGCGUGUAGCAGUGAAAUGCGUAGAUAUGCGGAGGAACACCGAUGGCGAAGGCAAUCCCCUGGGCCUGCACUGACGCUCAUGCACGAAAGCGUGGGGAGCAAACAGG